GACGAACGCUGGCGGCGUGCUUAACACAUGCAAGUCGAACGGAAAGGCCCUGCUUUUGUGGGGUGCUCGAGUGGCGAACGGGUGAGUAACACGUGAGUAACCUGCCCUUGACUUUGUGAUAACUUCAGGAAACUGGGGCUAAUACCGGAUAGGAGCUCCUGCUGCAUGGUGGGGGUUGGAAAGUUUCGGCGGUUGGGGAUGGACUCGCGGCUUAUCAGCUUGUUGGUGGGGUAGUGGCUUACCAAGGCUUUGACGGGUAGCCGGCCUGAGAGGGUGACCGGCCACAUUGGGACUGAGGUACGGCCCAGACUCCUACGGGAGGCAGCAGUGGGGAAUAUUGCACAAUGGGCGGAAGCCUGAUGCAGCAACGCCGCGUGCGGGAUGACGGCCUUCGGGUUGUAAACCGCUUUCGCCUGUGACGAAGCGUGAGUGACGGUAAUGGGUAAAGAAGCACCGGCUAACUACGUG
rnacentral:rRNA from 1 species